rnacentral:rRNA from 1 species
UGACGGUACCCGCAGAAUAAGCCCCGGCUAACUUCCUGCCAGCAGCCGCGGUAAUACGAAGGGGGCUAGCGUUGUUCGGAAUCACUGGGCGUAAAGCGUACGCAGGCGGAUUGAUAAGUCAGGGGUGAAAUCCCGGGGCUCAACCUCGGAAUUGCCUUUGAUACUGUCUGUCUCGAGUUCGGGAGAGGUUGGCGGAAUUCCUAGUGUAGAGGUGAAAUUCGUAGAUAUUAGGAAGAACACCAGUGGCGAAGGCGGCCAACUGGCCCGAUACUGACGCUCAUGUACGAAAGCGUGGGGAGCAAACAGGAUUAGAUACCCUGGUAGUCCACGCUGUAAACUAUGGAUGCUAGCCGUUGGGGAGCUUGCUCUUCAGUGGCGCAGCUAACGUCUUAAGCAUCCCGCCUGGGGAGUACGGUCGCAAGAUUAAAACUCAAAGGAAUAA